AAAUUGAAGAGUUUGAUCAUGGCUCAGAUUGAACGCUGGCGGCAGGCCUAACACAUGCAAGUCGAACGGUAACAGGAAGCAGCUUGCUGCUUCGCUGACGAGUGGCGGACGGGUGAGUAAUGUCUGGGAAACUGCCUGAUGGAGGGGGAUAACUACUGGAAACGGUA
rnacentral:rRNA from 2 species